rnacentral:lncRNA from 1 species
AUGCCGCUUGGGGGCUUGACUCCCAUCGUCUUAAAGGGAGGAGGGUUGAGAAGAGGGAAGAGGACAUAAUUCUCCAAAUCAUCCAAUACUUUUUUAAUCCCACCAAAGUCUUUAAAAGUAGGUCCUCCUCCUCCUCCUUUAGUAUUACUAUUAUCAGUAGGAGUAGUUCCGCUCAUGGGAAGAGAGACUCUAGCUUCCUUUUUAAGCCCCAUCUUGCUUCUACCUUUGUUGUUGGUAACAGUCUCAACUUCCACAUUCUUUUCCACAACUGGUUUCUUGGCGGCGGGGCUAUUAUUCAUCUUAGCGUAGUUAUCUCGUAAGCUGUCAUUGAUCAAAUCAAACCUUGGACUCAACUUCUGGCUGUAUAUAGCGUCCUCAGAAGUGGAGAUAUCGCCACUGUCUUCUUCUUCAGACGAAGAAGAAGAAGACGAAGAAGGAGACUUGUCUCUAUUUCUCCUCUUGAGAUGAGAUUGCUCAGCUCGCUGCAGCUUCUCCUCUUUCUCAUCAACACGUCUCGGUUUCUUCAUCUUACUAGGAGCAGCAUCAGAAUCAUCGCCGCCGCCAUUGUUGUCAUCUUCCUCUUCGUCUUUGGCGGCACGCUUGUUGUUGUUGUUUCGGGCAGUGAGGACAUUCCUGACGUUGAGCAGGAGCACUUGACGGGUCAGCCUCGCGAAGUUACCGUAUCUGGAACGAAGGUCAUCGACGAUUUCCUCUGCCGUAGCUAAGUCCUUCCCGCACGAAUCCAUAACUUGACUCAGGUAUCUCCGAUUGAUUCCUCCGCCCAUACCACCGCCGCGACCUCUCCUCACCAUCCUACCUCUUUUUUAUAACCAAAGGGGUGAAUAUUGGAGGCGCAGAGUGAGGAAGCUGCUGCAGAAAAGCUUGUAGCUCCCUCAGAAAGCCCUAAUUUAAUUUGCUACUGAAGAAGAGAAAAAGUGUGUAUAAUUUGAAGAGUGGUGGUUAGUCUGAUUUAUUUUAUUUAUUUGGAAGGUAAUAACGGGAUAUUAUGAGAUUUAUAGGGCAAUUGUUAAUAAUAGCACUUUUGAAGUUUAUGUCUCAAAAAUAGCACUAGAAGGAGAAAGUCACAAAAAUGACAUUCAUUAAAGGGUAAAAUAUCCCUAAUACCCUUGGUUUAAAAUUAAAUAAAUAAACAAAAAUAAAUAAAAAUAAAUAAAAAAAAUAAUAAAAAAAAAAUAAUAAUAAAAGAAAUUUUUUUUAUAGUUUCAGAUUAUAUGUUUUCAGAUUCGAAAUUUUUAUAAUUUUUUUUUUGAAAUUUUUUUUUUGAAUUUUUUUUUUUUUCAAAUUUUCUUUUUAUAAUUUAAAAAUACUUUUUAAAACUGUUUUUAAAAUUUUUAUUUUUUAUUUUAAUAUUUUUUUUUUAUAAAAUUUUAAACCCUAAUUCCAAAACCCCACCCCCUGAACUCGAAACCCUAAAUUUUGGCUUAAUUAUUUAAAAUCUAAAAAAUUAUCAAUUCGAUUUCGGUUCGGUCUGGGUAUCCAUAAUAUUUUAAGAUAGAAACCGUUCAGGUUAUUAUGUUUUCUAGUUUGGUUUCAGAUCAGAUAAUUUCGGUUCGGUACUAGUUAAUUUUGCUUAGGCCUAUUCUGAGCUACGCAAUGAUCAUUAGAAAUGAUUUUUACUCUACAGUUACUUCCGACACAAACAACUGAGACUUUGCGCGGUUACUUGUGGUUACCAUCAGUCCAAGACAACACGAGCCAAACCUAUUAAUCGAAUGUUGCUCAGCUCUUCAUCUCCCUUCUAUAUCUUCUCUGUAUAUAUCCAUUUUACUACUACAUGAUUCUUCUUUUUAGUAAAUUUAACGACAACACUUGCUGGAACCACACGAAACUUGAUGAUCAUCAUAUCAUUGGGUCUUAAGUUUGGACAAGAAAAAUAAAACAUAUGGCAUCUCCCUCGGGAAAAUGGGAGUAUAACUUAAGAGAGUCCUUUAUUUUCCUCGAGGGCAAAAGUUGAUCCUACGUUGAUUUGCUCCAUGUUGUUUCUUCCCGUGCUUCUUUGUAGCUUCUUUGGAAGUUCCUCAUAGUGUUUUAUUUGCUGCACCAAAAACGAGAUUCCAUUUCAGCUUCUCAAAGUAACAGAGAGUCAGUGAAAGAAGAGCAUUAUUAUUAUUACCUGUUUGCUCACAGAUGGUGUGACUAAGGACAAGCCUUGCUCGAAAUGAGUCAUCUUGAUGGUACAAUCACUUAAAUCUAUAUUAUCAUCUUCAGACGACUCACUGGACCCGAACUUCUCCUUCACUGCCACGUGUAUCGCUUUGUCCAUCUUCAACAAAUUCAAACCAACCAUCAGAAUCAUACCACACAUUACACAACAUGGGAUGUAGUAGUCUAAAUGUCUAAUAAUUCAACAAAAAAAACAUGAAAGACAAGAUUACCAGGUUAGCGAGAUCAGCUCCGCUGAAACCUUCACAGUUCUUUGCAAUGGCAUCCAGAUCAACACUCGGAUCUAUUGGUCUCUUCUUUGCAAUUGAUUUUAGGAUUAAAACACGCUCAUCCGCGUUAGGCAGCGGUACGUAUACAAGAUUCCCAAACCUACCCGGUCUUAGUAAAGCAGAAUCAAUCACAUCGGGCCGGUUUGUAGCUCCAAUUACAUACACAUUACGUCUCUCUCCACCGUCCAGUUCAGUAAGAAACUGUGGACACAUCAAAGAAUCAACGCCUGAUUCAGAUUCAGGGUUGCAGAAUCCAAUAUAACCAAGAAAGCCUUUUUAUUUUAUUUUAUUACCUGGUUCAAAACACUUUCAACAACCGAACCACCUUCUCUGCCUCGACUUGUUGUCAAAGCAUCCACCUGAAAUUCAAAGACAUUACUCAACUCAUGUAUAACAAGAAUCAGACAGCUCUUGUUAAAGUUGCUUAGUUUGAAGAAUCUUCUUAAUAUAUUAACAUGUUUUCGCUUUAGUCAGACUAAGACUGUUCAAAUAAGUGAAACGACACAAACCUCAUCAAAGAAGAGUACACAUGGUGAGCUUGUCCGGGCGCGCUGAAACAAGGUCCUAAUAGCAAGCUCGCUUUCUCCAACGUAUUUAUUUAGAAGUUCUGGACCCUGAAAGCCAACGACAGAAGAUAGAAAAAAGUCACAUUAUUUCAACACCAUUCAUAUGCAAAAUAAACUCCAGAGAAAAAAAAUCUGGCGUGAAAAUCAAACCUUAAUGUGUAUGAAAUUAGCUCCUGCCUCGUUUGCAACUGCCUUUGCAACCAACGUCUUACCACAACCCGGUGGUCCAUAGAGCAAGAAACCUGUCUCUAAGCUCGCUCCAAAAGCCUAAAAAAAAUCCAAAGCGACACAUUCAUUUCAGACACUAAUGGAACAAGACUAUGUAGCGGUGGCAAGGGUUUUAUUACUACCUUGUAAAUCUCUGGAUUUUUGAUAGGCCUAACUAUGUAAUUGUUGAGUUCAAGCCGUAGAUGGUCAAGUCCACCAACAUCCCCCCAUGUAACAUUAGGCACGGUAGAGAAACCUUCUCUAGUUAAAGAUCCCUUAACUAACUUCACUGCUUCCUGGUAUGCAAAAAAAAAAAACAGACUCAGGAACCUAAGUGUAAAACGUUGUAACCAUUGAAGAAGUAGAGAAAAGUGACGUCAUUGAUAAACACACCUCGAAAUCAGACAUUCUGACAAAGAGCUUUUCCAAAUCUUCUUCUGACCAUGGCUGUCUCAGCCAAGACCUAUCAUCCUGGUUGUCACUGUCACCGGACAGUUGCAAUUUUCUUGAAUCCUUGACCCUCUUUAUGCCAAGACUUCCAGCCAUGUUGGCUACACCUUCCAAAUCGGCUCCAACAAAACCUGGUGUCAAGCGAGCGAUUCUUUUCAUGUCAAAGGAACCUUCAAGUCUAAGCCUUUGAGCUACAACAGAGAGUAUCUCAGCCCUGGCAUCUUCAUCAGGGACGUUUAGAGCAAUCUCACGCUCAAAUCUUCCACUUCUCCUCAGAGCAGGGUCAAGAGCAUCAGGCCUGUUAGUAGCUCCAAUGACGAGAACAUAUCCAGAAGAAGUAGAAUCAGCAGCAUCAUUUUUAUCCCCCUUGUUACGAGGUCCAUCCAUACAAGUCAAUAACUGAGUAACAAUCCUCUUCUCCAUCUCUCGUUGCUGGUUCUCUCUCUUAGAUCCAAUGGCAUCAAUCUCAUCGAUAAACACAAUGGAAGGCGCAGUCCUAUAGGCUUUAGAGAAGAGCUCUCUGAUAUUCUCUUCAGAAGCACCAGAGACACCAGAAACGACUUCAGUAGCUGAAAUCUGAUAAAAGGGAACACCGACUUCAUUGGCAAUGGCAUUGGCGAGCUGAGUCUUGCCACAGCCAGGUGGACCAUGGAAGAGAAUGCCGCUUGGGGGCUUGACUCCCAUCGUCUUAAAGGGAGGAGGGUUGAGAAGAGGGAAGAGGACAUAAUUCUCCAAAUCAUCCAAUACUUUUUUAAUCCCACCAAAGUCUUUAAAAGUAGGUCCUCCUCCUCCUCCUUUAGUAUUACUAUUAUCAGUAGGAGUAGUUCCGCUCAUGGGAAGAGAGACUCUAGCUUCCUUUUUAAGCCCCAUCUUGCUUCUACCUUUGUUGUUGGUAACAGUCUCA